rnacentral:rRNA from 1 species
GACGCACGCUGGCGGCGUGCUUAACACAUGCAAGUCGAACGAAGUGGCGAAAGGGUGAGUAACGCGUAAUCAACCUGCCCUUCAGAGGGGGACAACAGUUGGAAACGACUGCUAAUACCGCAUACUGAAGGAGGGGAUUGCGUCUGAUUAGCUAGUUGGAGGGGUAACGGCCCACCAAGGCGAUGAUCAGUAGCCGGUCUGGGAGGAUGAACGGCCACAUGGGGACGGGGACACGGCCCAGACUCCUACGGGAGGCAGCAGGGGGGAAUCUUCCGCAAUGGACGAAAGUCUGACGGAGCAACGCCGCGUGAGUGAUGACGGCCUUCGGGUUGUAAAGCUCUGUUAAUCGGGACGCGGUACCGGAAUAGAAAGCCACGGCUAACUACGUGCCAGCCGCCGCGGUAAUAC